UUAAAUAAAAAUCGGUGUUGUUGCUGCCUUUCGUGGUGACGCGUCGGAAUUGAGUCGUCUUAUCUUCGGCUAAGUGACUUAAAAUUUUGUAUGAUUUUCGAACGUAUUUAAAUUGCUUACGUACGUUUGAUAUCGAAUAUUUAUUAGGUUCGGUCAUCCUCAUGACCCGCGCCUAUAAUUUUUCAUU
rnacentral:misc_RNA from 1 species